rnacentral:lncRNA from 1 species
AAGCAUUAUAUGUGAUAAAAUAAUCUACCAUGAGAAAGAAAUCAGCCCUCAACAAAAUAAGUAAGUAGCCAAGAACUCUUAAGAAAUUCUAGGGAAGAAAUGAAACUCCAUGUAGGUGCUUGAUGCUUGACACAACUUGGCAUGAGCACGGCACACGCUGGCAUGCAUAUUUCUUCUCUUGGCAUGUGGAGAGUGGUGG